rnacentral:rRNA from 1 species
UACGUAGGGACCAAGCGUUGUUCGGAUUUACUGGGCGUAAAGGGCGCGUAGGCGGCUUGACAAGUCACUUGUGAAAUCUCCGGGCUUAACUCGGAACGGCCAAGUGAAACUGUCAUGCUAGAGUGCAGAAGGGGCAAUCGGAAUUCUUGGUGUAGCGGUGAAAUGCGUAGAUAUCAAGAGGAACACCUGAGGUGAAGACGGGUUGCCGGGCUAACACUGACGCUGAGGCGCGAAAGCCAGGGGAGCAAACGGG